AUCGAUAGAAACGAAUCCUGCCUCCGAGCUUGAUCGUUUUCGAUUGGUUUCGAUCGAUUUCGAUUGGCUUGAUUGAACGUCAAUUGGAUUAGUUUCGACCAAAACAUUGGCUGAGUGAACAACCAUUUACCAAUCGAAAUCGAUUGAAACCGAUUUCAAUUGGCUGUUGAACGCGCUUGAAGUUCAACUCCCAGCAGCAACAAAAAUGUCCUCUCCGAUCAGGGUCCGACAUACGGUCACACAGUUCUAAAAUCAAACUGGAAGAAGGACACCAGCGAUGUUCGCAACAGCGCCGGGAGCUGGAGGAGCAAGGAGCUGGAGAAGCUACGCCAAUAAUGCCCGUGUGAUGGAAAUUAAACCACCUCCUGAUGAAGGAGCUAAUGUGCUAAUAAUAUUGUACUAUGGGCGAUGGAAGCGAAAAGUUAUUCUUUCUCUCCUUAAGAAAAACGCCUUUAGAACUGUCAAAAGUUGGGUGAAAUUAUAGCUGCAUCCCACUUGCACUAAUGCAAAACCAUCACCCAAAUUCGUCAGCGCUUCCAUCGCCUAUAGUGAAUAAAAUAGAAUUUCAUAAUAUUUCAAA